rnacentral:rRNA from 1 species
CAGCCGCCGCGGGAAUACGAAGGGGGCUAGCGUUAAUCGGAAUUACUGGGCGUAAAGCGUGCGCAGGCGGUUUGUUAAGACAGAUGUGAAAUCCCCGGGCUCAACCUGGGAACUGCAUUUGUGACUGGCAGGCUAGAGUAUGGCAGAGGGGGGUGGAAUUCCGCGUGUAGCAGUGAAAUGCGUAGAUAUGCGGAGGAACACCGAUGGCGAAGGCAGCCCCCUGGGCCAAUACUGACGCUCAUGCACGAAAGCGUGGGGAGCAGACAGGAUUAGAUACCCCCGUAGUCCCUGUCUCUUAUAC